UAGGGAAUCUUCGGCAAUGGGGGCAACCCUGACCGAGCAACGCCGCGUGAGUGAAGAAGGUUUUUCGGAUCGUAAAGCUCUGUUGUAAGAGAAGAACGUGUGUGAGAGUGGAAAGUUCACACAGUGACGGUAACUUACCAGAAAGGGACGGCUAACUACGUGCCAG
rnacentral:rRNA from 1 species